GCUUUUUGUCCUGUCAUCUUUCAUUUGAAAGAGAAUUUCGAGUCCUAAUUAUUAGUGUAAGUGAAGAUUUGGCAAGCUGCUGCCAGCAAUUGCCUUUAAGGUACUGUCGUACUGACUGGGCAGCUUACAAAAUUAAAAGUGCUAACAUAUUCAAGAGUGAAGUAGGGCUGUAAAUGAGCCGAGUUGCUUGAGACUUGGCUCAAUAAAACAAGCCAAGCUUGAGCUCCAUUUGUUUAUGACAUAAAUGAGUUUGAGACAAUUUGAGC
rnacentral:misc_RNA from 1 species